rnacentral:rRNA from 1 species
AUUGAACGCUGGCGGCAGGCCUAACACAUGCAAGUCGAGCGAGCGGCGGACGGGUGAGUAAUGUCUGGGAACCUGCCUGAUGGAGGGGGCUAACUACUGGAAACGGUCGUUAAUACCGCAUACCAUCAGAUGUGCCCAGAUGGGAGUAGCUUGUAGGUGGGGUAACGGCCCACCUAGGCAACGAUCCCUAGCUGGGCUGCGAGGAUGACCAGCCACACUGGAACUGAGACACGGUCCAGACUCCUACGGGAGGCAGCAGUGGGGAAUAGUGCACAAUGGGCGCAAGCCUGAUGCAGCCAUGCCGCGUGUGUGAAGAAGGCCUUCGGGUUGUAAAGCACUUUCAGCGGGGAGGCGUUACCCGCAGAAGAAGCACCGGCUAACUCCGGGCCAGCAGCCGCGGUAAUAC